rfam:Stegodyphus mimosarum contig125181, whole genome shotgun sequence.
GCCUUCGUAGUGUAGUGGUCAGCACGCUCGACGCGUAACCGAGAGGUCAAUGGUUCAAUUCCCGGCGAAGGCG